GUAGAUAAAAAGGGUUCAGUGGAGGCUGCUUGGUUUGGAAGCUCUAUAGGAAGCAGGUUUGUGCCUGCCCUUGCUUUGUGCUUUUGUUUUUCUGUGCUGUUCUAUUUGCUGGCUUUUGUGAGUCAAUUAUAGCUCAAAAAAAAGAGCAAGGGAACAGUACUGAUGGUGUGAAGAGUGUCAGAGAAGAAAGUUUUGAGAAGGCUUUGACUCUGAAGACACUUCUUUUGGGCAACACAGGAGCUUCUGCAGGCUUGAAGUUUCUAAUGAGCAGGAUGUGUUCCACUAGGCUGGCCCUGACCUCACAGAGGUGGUGGAUGUUGAGUGAAGAUGAGAUGAGACCCUGAGAUGGAUCCAGUAAGGAAGAAGCCAGCUGGGAGAGAGUCUCCCUGGGAGCUGCAGCUCAUAGGGAUGUGCUAGAGGCUGGGCAAAGGGACCAACACCUGCUGCUGUUACCUUAACUACACAGGAAGGAAGAACACAGCCAUAAUUAACAGCAGAGAGGAAUCUGCCACCUUGCGUGAAUAAAACUGACCUCAAACAGCUUCAAAGCUCCAAGACCUGCCCUGUUCAGCUACAGGUAGAAUUUGGUGCUGCCUUUUCAUUUCCUUACCAGAGUCCAAAUCCAGUUUGGGAUCACUUUGUGGCUUAUUUCUUGUGAAGAAUGGUGUGAAAACUGAAGAUUACUGUGCCUGGGAAACUUGGUCAAAAGCCUGCCUUUCACAACCCCAAGACUCCUCAUGAAAAGCAACCAGAGCCCACGUGGGCAAAACCAAACCAAAAUGAAAUCCUAGCUUAUCCCAGGCAAUGGGAAGUUUUAUAAGCAACUUAGAAGGGGAAGAAAAGAAACAGCAGCCAUAAAUUUACUUACUUCCACCAGAGAAUUCCCACUGCAAAGGUGAGCAAGCUCCUCCAGACCGUGGAUGGGAGGAGGAGAGCCACACAAAGCAAAGACAACCCCGAGCUGUCCUUUACAAGCCCAGCAGCUAAAUGUCUGAUUAUUCUACAUCCCAGGGAGCUUUAACAGCAGCAGCACUGCUCCCAGAACAGGGGAAAACACCCUUUACACAUGAAAACAAGCUCUA